CGAUAGUCGACUCACUUGUGUCUCUUGCAAACUUAGUGAAUUCAGGGACUUUCCAUCCCAUGGGAAGUUAUGUCUACAAAACAUAUCCAGUCAAGGGAGACACGAAAUUUAGCCUAUGUAUUCCUACAUUAAGGCCAUUCUGAGCAAGGAUAUUUUCGACCAUAUGGGCUAGAUUAUUCUACCCCCUCAGGUUAUCUUGUCGUACGUUCCUUACUACUUCUUCAACAUCUUAGUU
rnacentral:lncRNA from 1 species